rnacentral:rRNA from 1 species
UUGAACGCUGGCGGCAUGCCUUACACAUGCAAGUCGAACGGCAGCACGGACUUCGGUCUGGUGGCGAGUGGCGAACGGGUGAGUAAUACAUCGGAACGUGCCUAGUAGUGGGGGAUAACUACUCGAAAGAGUGGCUAAUACCGCAUGAGAUCUACGGAUGAAAGCAGGGGAUCGUAAGACCUUGUGCUACUAGAGCGGCAGAUGGCAGAUUAGGUAGUUGGUGGGAUAAAAGAGUACCAGGCCAACGAUCUGUAGCUGGUCUGAGAGGACGAUCAGCCACACUGGGACUGAGACACGGCCCAGACUCCUACGGGAGGCAGCAGUGGGGAAUUUUGGACAAUGGGCGAAAGCCUGAUCCAGCAAUGCCGCGUGCAGGAUGAAGGCCUUCGGGUUGUAAACUGCUUUUGUACGGAACGAAAAGCUUCGGGUUAAUACCCUGAAGUCAUGACGGUACCGUAAGAAUAAGCACCGGCUAACUACGUGCCAGCAGCCGCGGUAAUACGUAGGGUGCAAGCGUUAAUCGGAAUUACUGGGCGUAAAGCGUGCGCAGGCGGUUUUGUAAGACAGAGGUGAAAUCCCCGGGCUCAACCUGGGAACUGCCUUUGUGACUGCAAGGCUAGAGUACGGCAGAGGGGGAUGGAAUUCCGCGUGUAGCAGUGAAAUGCGUAGAUAUGCGGAGGAACACCGAUGGCGAAGGCAAUCCCCUGGGCCUGUACUGACGCUCAUGCACGAAAGCGUGGGGAGCAAACAGGAUUAGAUACCCUGGUAGUCCACGCCGUAAACGAUGAGAACUAGGUGUUGGGGGAAUAACUCAGUGCCGCAGUUAACGCAGUAAGUUCUCCGCCUGGGGAGUAUGCACGCAAGUGUGAAACUCAAAGGAAUUGACGGGGGCCCGCACAAGCGGUGGAGUAUGUGGUUUAAUUCGAAGCAACGCGAAGAACCUUACCAGGUCUUGACAUCCGACUAACGAGAUAGAGAUAUGUCAGGUGCCCUUCGGGGAAAGUCGAGACAGGUGGUGCAUGGUUGUCGUCAGCUCGUGUCGUGAGAUGUUGGGUUAAGUCCCGCAACGAGCGCAACCCUUGCCAUUAGUUGCUACGAAAGGGCACUCUAAUGGGACUGCCGGUGACAAACCGGAGGAAGGUGGGGAUGACGUCAAGUCCUCAUGGCCCUUAUAGGUGGGGCUACACACGUCAUACAAUGGCUGGUACAAAGGGUUGCCAACCCGCGAGGGGGAGCUAAUCCCAUAAAGCCAGUCGUAGUCCGGAUCGCAGUCUGCAACUCGACUGCGUGAAGUCGGAAUCGCUAGUAAUCGUGGAUCAGCAUGUCACGGUGAAUACGUUCCCGGGUCUUGUACACACCGCCCGUCACACCAUGGGAGUCGGAAACGCCCGAAGUCAGUGACCCAACCGCAAGGAGGGAGCUGCCGAAGGUGGGAUAAGCGACUGGGGUG